GGGAGAGUCUCAUUGGGGGGUAGGCAGGCUGUUCCAAAGGAAGGGUGAUACGCGCGAAAAGUCCUGCAAGUGCGAGUUAGCAGUAAGGGUGCUUGCAGGGGUCAAGAGAAGGUCACCGGCAGAGCGGAGAGACUGAGAAGCAUAUCUAUGAAUCAGUGAAGAAAUGUAAAAGGGGCAAUGAUGGAUUAGGGCAAAUCAACCCCCCCACCCC